GGGGGUGGGGGGUUGGUUUUAGAAGGGGUAGAGGGGGCCGGCCAAGGCAAGAGGGCAGGGGAAGGGGUGGGGUCGGAGGUCUAGCGCGGCGCGCGGCGGGGACUGGCGGCGGCCUUGGGGUGGGGCGGCUGCUCCAGGCUGGGGGCCCCCCGGGUCGGUUCUACCACGAGCGCGUCGACCCGCCCUCGUAGAGGGCGCGCGAGCGCGUCUACUCGUUGCGGUGCCACUAGCUGCUCUUCCACGAGCCCCUCACGGAGUUGCUCUAGAGGGCGCGCGACGACGUCAGGCUGCAGGUCAAGUUCUACCAGGCGCUGUACGUCUGGUUGUAGUCCUUCUAGCAGUUGGAGCUCUGGGAGCGGCGGCCGUGGUUGUUCGCUGCGUAGUAUGUCGUCCGGCAGAAGUGCCUCGAGACGUUGUACGAGCUAGGGCCCUUCGGCCGGAAGUGGGGGUUCUUCCCGUUCGGGUCGCAGCAGUACAAGCAGCCCAACGUCCCAAGACCUUUUUGAUGGUGUACAUGGUUUAUGCGUAUAAUAGUAGUCGCGUUCCCUAAAUUUGGCAGAGACCAAACACGGCUAUGUAAGGCUCGACCACGAAAACUAGUCAACUUCGUCUUACGUUGGUUCCGUUUCUAUGGCAAAAUGCCUUCGAUGUACCUCAGUCUAGGACACUUUUAACGACAACUCCCAGACCUUUCCAAGUCCUUUCUUUUAAGACUAGAGUAGUAAUAACUGUGUUCACCUGCGGUAUUCGUUCUCCGACGUGAGAAUCUUCUUUACGCAGUUCAACGUCUUCGUUGCUUUGGUCUGGACCACUAUAAACACUACCUACCGUCAUAACCAGUCCGACGCAAACUAGUCCGUGUUCGUAAAUUUGUUUCACGAAGACAACCACGACAGUAGCAUUGCUUUAACCUACCAGUACGUUUUCCUCCGCCACGUGAAUCGCGCCAACGUCGAUGUUUUUCAGGUCACUAUAAAUAACCUUGACCUCUUGUGUAACUACUUAAACUCUAAAAACUACACUUUGGUAAACAGUCGGCAGACGAUCCAUACCCUCUGAACAGACCGAAUUACCUGUUCUAGGUCCUACAAUACGGACGACUAGUUGUCGGACUCGAAGACCGUUUCGACCGACUUCCUUGGAAGUGAGAGUCUGAAAACAUACUCGUUAAGGUCUUAGAAGACUUUUACCCAGGAUAACCGGUCCAGAAGAGGUACAACGGACCUAAAUCAAGUCUCAACUACGGUUUUCCUGUACUCUUUCUUCCGGUUCGCUUCUAAUUCGCCAUGUACUGCUAAUACCUAAGGUACUGUCGUCGUCUCGAGCUGUCAUGUUUGGGUUUCGACUACUGACUCAGCGCUUAGUAGGCCUAGCGAGCCCCCAGACCGUCCGUUUAGUCUCUGCACUACCUGUACGACCUUCUCAUGUUCGCCGAUCGGUUCUACACCUCGUUCUACUUCCCCGAUUUCUACGGCUUCUUACCUUUCUACUCGCUGGACAGGGUCUUGGACUUGUAGGUCGUCUACUGGUUCCGCGAGGGCGGCGUUCACGACUUCGUCUACCCGCCGUACCCGCCGGACGUCCGGGACUACUUCGUCUACCCGCCGUUCCUGUACUCGUUUUACGAGCCACCGUACCCUGACCCGCCACUAAUCGGACCGUUUACAUCCAUCUCAAAGAAGACCCGUAUCCACCACACGAACGACGCAACAGUCUCAAACGAUAUAAAUAUAUCUAGAGUUUUCUAAAGGGUAGGACUGUUUAUAUCAGGAGUUGAGAACUUUUUUAGUAAACUUUAAAGAGACCUUGAUUGUAGAUCAUUCCAGUAGUUUAAAUGUCCAUCACAUCGAAGACACUUAAACAACGCAGCAGCGCAAGGAGCGAACCAUAUGAACAAAAUACUUAGUACGCCAGAAGACCUAGACCUCUCGGACUUUGGGUCUCAAUUUUAAACUACAGACUUCAGAUUUCGCAAAGUGACAAAUUACAUAAUGAGGGAG
rnacentral:rRNA from 1 species